rnacentral:rRNA from 1 species
GGCGUGCUUAACACAUGCAAGUCGAACGGAAAGGCCCUGCUUGCAGGGUACUCGAGUGGCGAACGGGUGAGUAACACGUGGGUGAUCUGCCCUGCACUUCGGGAUAAGCCUGGGAAACUGGGUCUAAUACCGGAUAGGACCAUCGUUUAGUGUCGGUGGUGGAAAGUUUUUCGGUGCAGGAUGAGCUCGCGGCCUAUCAGCUUGUUGGUGGGGUAAUGGCCUACCAAGGCGUCGACGGGUAGCCGGCCUGAGAGGGUGGACGGCCACAUUGGGACUGAGACACGGCCCAGACUCCUACGGGAGGCAGCAGUGGGGAAUAUUGCACAAUGGGCGCAAGCCUGAUGCAGCGACGCCGCGUGGGGGAUGAAGGCCUUCGGGUUGUAAACUCCUUUCAACCAUGACGAAGCAUUAUGUGACGGUAGUGGUAGAAGAAGCACCGGCUAACUACGUGCCAGCAGCCGCGGUAAUACGUAGGGUGCGAGCGUUGUCCGGAAUUACUGGGCGUAAAGAGCUCGUAGGUGGUUUGUCGCGUCGUCUGUGAAAUUCCGGGGCUUAACUCCGGGCGUGCAGGCGAUACGGGCAUAACUUGAGUGCUGUAGGGGAGACUGGAAUUCCUGGUGUAGCGGUGAAAUGCGCAGAUAUCAGGAGGAACACCGAUGGCGAAGGCAGGUCUCUGGGCAGUAACUGACGCUGAGGAGCGAAAGCAUGGGUAGCGAACAGGAUUAGAUACCCUGGUAGUCCAUGCCGUAACGGUGGGCGCUAGGUGUGGGGGUCUUCCACGACUUCUGUGCCGUAGCUAACGCAUUAAGCGCCCCGCCUGGGGAGUACGGCCGCAGGCUAAACUCAAGGAUUGACGG